ACCUAGCGUAGCUCGGUUUGUAGAGCAUUGGACUAGUAUCCCAAAGAUUGCGGGUUCGAUUCCCACCGUGGUC